rnacentral:rRNA from 1 species
UACGUAGGGUGGCAAGCGUUGUCCGGAUUUAUUGGGUUUAAAGGGUGCGUAGGCGGCCCUGUAAGUCAGUGGUGAAAUACUCUAGCUUAACUAGAGGGGUGCCAAUGAUACUGCAGGGCUUGAGUACAGAUGAGGUAGGCGGAAUUGACGGUGUAGCGGUGAAAUGCAUAGAUAUCGUCAAGAACACCUAUAGCGAAGGCAGCUUACUGGGCUGUAACUGACGCUGGAGGCACGAAAGUGUGGGGAGUCAAACAGG